rnacentral:rRNA from 1 species
UGGGGAAUAUUGCACAAUGGGGGAAACCCUGAUGCAGCGACGCCGCGUGGAGGAUGAAGGCCUUCGGGUUGUAAACUCCUUUUGUAGGGGAAGAUAAUGACGGUACCCUGCGAAUAAGCCACGGCUAACUCUGUGCCAGCAGCCGCGGUAAGACAGAGGUGGCGAGCGUUGUUCGGAAUUACUGGGCUUAAAGGGCGAGUAGGCGGUGGAGCAAGUCUGAGGUGGAAUCCUACGGCUUAACCGUAGAACUGCCUUAGAAACUGUUUUACUUGAGUCAAUGAGGGGAGGGCGGAAUUCCUGGUGUAGCGGUGAAAUGCGUAGAUAUCAGGAGGAAGGCCUGUGGCGAAAGUGGCCCUCUGGCAUUGUACUGACGCUGAGGCGCGAAAGCGUGGGGAGCAAACAGG